AGAGUUUGAUCCUGGCUCAGGAUGAACGCUAGCGACAGGCUUAACACAUGCAAGUCGAGGGGCAGCAGGAGCGAAGCAAUUCGCUUGCUGGCGACCGGCGCACGGGUGAGUAACACGUAUGCAACCUGCCCCCGGCUGGGCAUAAGCGGUAGAAAUGCCGUCUAAUUCCCCAUGCCGCGUCAGAGGGACAUCCCUUUGGCGCGAAAGGAGAAAUCCGGCCGGGGAUGGGCAUGCGGCGCAUUAGGCAGUUGGCGGUGCAACGGACCACCAAACCGACGAUGCGUAGGGGUUCUGAGAGGAAGGCCCCCCACACUGGUACUGAGACACGGACCAGACUCCUACGGGAGGCAGCAGUGAGGAAUAUUGGUCAAUGGGCGAGAGCCUGAACCAGCCAAGUCGCGUGAGGGAAGACGGCCCUACGGGUUGUGAACCUCUUUUGCCGGGGAGCAAAGGCGCCCACGCGUGGGUGUUCGAGAGUACCCGGAGAAAAAGCAUCGGCUAACUCCGUGCCAGCAGCCGCGGUAAUACGGAGGAUGCGAGCGUUAUCCGGAUUUAUUGGGUUUAAAGGGUGCGUAGGCGGGCGGCCAAGUCGGCGGUGAAAGCCCGGGGCUCAACCCCGGCGAGCCGUCGGAACUGCCGGCCUUGAGUGGGCGAGAAGCGCGCGGAAUGCGUGGUGUAGCGGUGAAAUGCAUAGAUAUCACGCAGAACUCCGAUUGCGAAGGCAGCGCGCCGGCGCCCGACUGACGCUGAGGCACGAAAGCGUGGGGAUCGAACAGGAUUAGAUACCCUGGUAGUCCACGCAGUAAACGAUGAGCAUAUAGCUGUCCGG
rnacentral:rRNA from 1 species